ensembl:processed_transcript
GGUUUAUUACUGCAAUUACUAUACACACAAACUUUAGAAGUCAAUAAUUUACUUUAUAUAAAAACUGUUUUGUCUAACUUGUGGAUGCAUUACAUGAAUGCAUUUUUAGUGCCGUUGUCAAAAUACAGAUACAGAUCAACAACAUUUUUUAUGUACGUAAAGAUAAUAAUCAUAAAACAAUAUAUAUGCCUCAUAUUACCAUUCAUUGUUUAUUUAUCCUUCUCAUUAAAUACAAUGCUUACUCUCGAAAUAGCCUCACCUUCAAAGAUCCCUUGAAUGCUGAAGCAGACCGCAUUCAACUCAUUGCUGUAAUUAUUACAAAUGUUUUUUUUACUAUAUCUUUGUUUUUUUAAACCUAUAUCUUUUGUUGCAUUACCAUUCUUUUAAUUUUUUAAUGUCUUUAUCUGCUUAUCUCUAGUACAAAUGCCAGGAUCCUUCAGUGAACCCUGUAGAAACAGCUCAACAAAUGUGCAGACUGGGAAAUGAUAUCAUGACUAUAAUGUCAUGAUGGAAUAACCACAAUAAGGCAUUACAACAGAGUGUUGCGGGACUAAGGUCUCAACUAAAGAAUACACAAAAACUUCUCACAGAAGCUUUGGCUUUAGCAGAUGUUCUUGCUGCAGCCAAGGACUUUUGUAAUGAUGUACAACACAAUGUGUCCACGCAAACUGUGGCUCCAACCUAUCUUAUGUUAUCCAGCACGACAGAAGAACAAGAUAACACACCAUCUCCUGCUUAUGAAGAUGUGCAAGACAUUUAAGUUUAAUUCCUUUUUACUGUGACAACUUUUAUUUUUGUAAUGUUCUAAUCAACCUUUCAGUAUAUUUGUACAAAUUUUCUAAUAUUUUCUGUAGACCAUGGGUGUCAAACUCAGUUCUUGGUGGGCCUCAGCCCUGCAGAGUAUAUUCAACCCUAAGUAAACGUAACCUAAUU